AAACAUUUCCCCCCUUAGGUUACUAACUGAAUGAUCCCUGCUAUUGCAUUUCCAACAAAAGCUAUCAAUGUCCACCAGCCAUGAUGUCUAUGGACUCCCUCCACUAUGGUUCUGAAUGCCAGUUGCUAAGAAUCACAAGUGGGAAGAGUGCUGUAUCCCAUCCUUGUCACAGACCAUGAAAGUUUCCUUUGCCUCACAAUAUAUUUUUGAUGUGUCCAUCCAUUGUGAAAGCAAGUUUCUCCCUCUUUCUUCUGAAAAGUUAUUGCUAAUGUUAGUCUCAGAUAAUGGGAAAUGCCCAGAGGCACAAGAUAAACUUUCCCUUUCUUUUGUGUCUGAGAAUGAAGUUCAAUCCUGUAAAACUGGGCAGUCUGAGGGACUAGAGAAAACUGCUUUCCUCUCAGCUCAUGAGCUGUUUUCAAAUCUAAUAUUCUAUUGAUAAAAUCAAAUUGGGUUGCUGAAGAGAGUGAGAGCCAUGAAAAAUGUAUUGAAAAGCAGUCAUUUGCUGUGCUGCUGCAGAAAAUGAAGGCGAAACUGAAGCAACAAGGAGGAGGAAGGCAUUCCACAACAGCAAUAAUUUCCCAUUUGUCCAUCCCUUCCCUUCUGCUUCUUUCUUCUCUUCCAGGAGCAAUAUAAUGUUGUGGAGCUCUGCUGUUAGAGGUGAAAUUGCUGGAACAAUCGAAGAAGAUAGGGAUGGGCAACCCCUUUACAAGUGACCCUUCAGACCAAUUUGCCCCUGCCCUGACUGGCUACUGAGUGGAGAGGAAGAGGGAGAGACUGAAAGGGCCAUGGAUAGGAGACAGAGACAGAGACAGAGACAGAGACAGAGAAAGAGAAAGAGAAAGAGAAAGAGAGAGAGAGAGGAAGAUAAGGUGUUGUCUUGGCCGCUUCUUGACCUCACACAGCUUGCCUUUGGUCCCACACUUAUAUGGGUAGGGAUGGGAGGGAUUCAGUUCAUAUUUCAAAGCAAAUGUAUCAGAUUUCCACUUCCCAGAACAAUACAUGAACAGAAGUGCAGCCAUUUUUUGAAAUUUUCUCUUCUUUGAUUUCCGUGAUACAAAAUUAUCCAACCCAAAACUGUACAAAAAUGCAUAUAUUAGGGGGAAGUGUGCACACAAGGGCAUAUAUUAGAGACAAAUGAUGUACAAGAAUGCAUUAUAUUAGGGAAAAAUCACUUGCAGAAAUGUGGUACAUUAGAGAAAAUGGUAUACAAAAAAUGGGUGCCUUAGGAUAAAUGAAGAUGAAUUUUCAUGAUUUGUUUGUUUGUUUUUCAAUCCAAUGUGGAAAUCUGAUGAACUGAAGAUAGGGAAAAUGUGAUAAACUGAAACUGACAAAGUUGUCUAUCCCUUACCAUGGGAAUUGUAGGGAUAUAUCAAUUGAUUAGGGCACUCACAGUGUACAAAAUGUCCAAGAAUUUAUAUGCCAAAACACACAUUGUAAUAAUACCAUUAGUAUGUAAGAUGUAAACAAAUAAACUAUGAACAGCACAGAAGGAUAAAAGCCCAUCAUAAAAAUAGAUUCUGUUCAUUGCAUCAUAGUGACCCGCAUCAAAUGGUUACAAUUAGCAUAAGGAGAUAUAGCAACCAAUUGCAGUUACAUGCAAGCAUUUGUUAAGAAGUUAUGAAAGAAAUCUGUAUGGGUGGGUUUCAAGAUCCUUAAAUGUGUUAGGAAAAGGUGGGUCUUUUUCUUGACCUGUUACUUCCAUCAUGAGAGUUCAAAUGUCACUGCAAAUUACACUGCAAUUCCUGGUUCUGUAAGCAAUGAGUCCAUGAACAUCUCUUACUAUGUCAAUACAGAAAACAAACUCUUGGCACAACCAAUUAACUGCACUUGUACAAGUAUUGUAUGAUGAGAAGAAGAAGAAAGUCAAAUGAAUACGUCUUUUAUUAGUUGGAAUAAGAUGAGAGUCAAUGCUUUGCUCUAGCUGCAAAGAGCUGACAGGCCUUCACAGCUUUUGUCAAUGUGUAUUUCAGGUCUUCCAAAGGUUGCUCGUGUUGAUGCUGAUGGCUCGCUUUUUAAAAAAACAACACAGCACAUUUGCCACCAGUUAUAUACUGGUGGUUCUUACAGUGUCAUGUGCGCCUCCCUAGGAAAGAAUAGAGAGCUACUGAGUUGUCAUAAUUUUGUGCCUUGCUUUCACUCAUUUUGAGACACUGGGGUCUCAAAUUUCAGCAGCUUGCUGUGUGAUGCCAAAAUUUGGCAUCCUGCCUCUCUCCUUCCAUUCUACAACAUAGUUGUGGUUCACCCUGCAGUGCCCCCGAGGUUGGGUGCCUGUUGUGGGCAAACCGGUCGCAUUGCUCUAAAUCCACUUCUGCCCUAAGUAUAGC